GAGUUUUGGGUCUAUAUAAACAAAUUGCAUUGGAAAAGAAAAACAAACAAACCAAUACAGGCAAGCCUUCCCUCUAAUAUCACCCUGUCAUAAACCUCAAAAACCACAAUGCAAGCCACAAAGGAUAACAAGGAUCAGAAAAACAAAUUGGAACAAGUGUUUCGAGCUUACUCUAAGGAGGGCAGCCUCACCAGGAACCAGCUCAAGGAUGCUUUUGAACAUCUAGGUGCACUCACGCCAAACAAGCAAGUGGAAGAGGCCAUGGACGUUGCUGAUAAAAAUAAGGAUAAUUUGAUCGACUGCACCAAUGAUGAGUUGGAUUCUCUUGUUGAAUAUGCUUGCAAUAAAGGCUUUAAAGGUUCCGCUUAAGUGUCGAUGGAUCAACUUUCAGCCGACGUACGGGGGAUGCUUAUGACUGAUGAAAAAUAAAUAUAUAGCUUUGGGUCUUUUCCUUCAUGUUGUCUCAAAAACAUGAUGAAAUUAAAAUAAAAUAAAACCCCUGUUUUUAUGUAAUUCUAUGUAUAAUUUUGCAUGCUUGCGUGCCUCAACUAUCAAGUACCAUAAACAUGUUGUUUGUACUAUUAUAAAUUAUAGACUGAUAUUUUUAUUACUUAAAAACUUAAACAAAAAGUUUGAGGAAACUUAAAAGUAAACCUAUUCAAAGGAAAAACAUACAAUAUAAUAUAUAUAUAUGAACUUAAUUUAAAUGCUUAUUUUUUUAAUUUUUAUACAUAUUUACACAUAUGCUUUUGUAUGCACAUGCGUACAUAUACACACAUAUAUAUAUGUGUGUGUGUGAGUAUAGAAGGAAAUGGUUUUGAUAAAAUUGAAGCUAUUUGACAAAAAAAUUGAAGUACAUACUGAUGUCGACAGGCAAAGGAAAGUUACAUUCUAAUAAGAAUUAGAAUAUCAAAAUGAGUUAAUUAGUUGUAGGAUUUCAAAUGAAAUUUCAUUUAUGAAGGUAACUUCAAAUAUCAAAAGUUGAAAUACCUGGUUUACCAAAAUUAUAUAUAUCUGAAUUUUAUUUUUGGAAAUAGUUAAAUUCUUUUGUAAUUUUAUUAAAAUGUUUGCGAAGCAUAUAUAAAGGAUUAAUUAGUAGUGUCUUUUGUGCAUUGCUUUGGUUUAGAAAACACAAUUUUACAUUAAUUUAAAAAGCCAUUUAUUUUAUUAUGAAAUUAUUAAUUUAAUCUUUUAAAUUAUUUUUCUAUCCUACUAUUAAUUAAUUCAUUUUUAAUAAUAAAUUUGACCCUUUCUUAUUUCAUAAAUGUUUCUUACAAAAUUAUUACAGUGAGAUGAUGCUAUUAUAAUUUGGUAAUAAGUCAUAUUUUUUAACUUUUAUAGAGGCUUCUUAUUAUCUAAGCCCAAAUUCCCCACUAUAUUUUGCACAUUUUAUAAGAUAGUUUUUAGCUUUUUACUACUUGAUUUAAAUGCAUUAUUAUAUGUGCAUAUAUAAUGUAAGAUGAUAUGUCAUAAUUUAAACUUUGAUCGUUAAAAUUAAAAUUUAAUAUUCUAUUAACAUCUCACACUACUGUUACCAUUUUGAUAAUAAAAUUUAAAAACUCCACUACUACAAGUGAAUGUGAUAAUUUUUAUAAUAUAAAUGUAUGAGCAUACAUACUUAAGUUUUAAGAACCAUAAAUUUUGGUGAAAUAUAUUUUAGGCCUGAUGAAGAAUUCAAUUAAUGAACAAUUAGGCUCAACACAACCUCAAAGAAAUCCAAUAACUACUACAAGGGUUUAGGUUUUUAGUGGCAUUUUUUUUAACAUUUAGCGAGGUUUAUAAACGCCACUAAAAGAUUUUCAGCACUUACAAAAAAUGUUACUAAGAGUGUUGGCUAUACUCGUGUCGGGGAAAAUAGUGGCAUUUUUUAUAAAAUGUCGCUAAAUUAGCAGUAUUGUAUAUGAAAAAGACCGCUAAUUUAGUGGCAUUUGUAUAAAAAAACACCAUUAAUAUGGUGGUGUUUAUAUGAUAAGACAUCAGUAAAUUACAGCAUUUGUAUCUAGAAAAUACCGUUAAAUUCACUACUAAUUUAGUGGCAUUUGUAUAAAAAAAAUGCCACUAAUUAAGUGACAUUUUUAUGGUAUGAAUGCCGCUAAUUUAGUAGCAUUUUUUUUUUUAUAAGAAUGCUACUACUUUUAGUGGUGUUUUAUGGUACAAAUUCCAUUAAAUUUAGAAUUUAGUAGCAUUCUUGAACGUCAAUGCUGUGAAAUUAAGAAAUUUACUUUUUUAAUAAAAAUUUCUGUUAAUAUUUAUUAUUUUCAUUAACAAGAAAUGUUAAAAGAAAUAAAAAUAAACUUAAAUUCAUAAAUUGAAAUUAAUAAAUAUUUAAUUCACUUUCAAAUAUGCAUCUAAUUAACACAAAGUUUAAUAAUUAGUAUAAUAACAUUCAGAUUUUUUUAAUACAUUCUAAUUAACACAAAGUUUAAUAAUUAGUAUAAUAACAUUCAAUUUUUUUAAUACAUUAACCAAAAAAAUUAAAAUGUAUGAAAUUGAUGACUGCAUAGAUUUGGAAGACUGUCAUUUGAUGAAGGAAUUUUUUCACCUUGAUAAUUGGCAUGGUCAAGAACCUACUGAAUAAUAUUAUACAAGUUUUAACACUUAAUAAUGAGCUUUUUUUAUAGUAAAAAAUAUAAAUAUUUACUAAAUAUAAUACCUGAGUUGGUGGACCAUCGAGAUUAUUUCUUGGAAAUUGUUGUUGCACAAAAUUCAUAAAAUUAUUGAAUCGAUCAUGCAACUGCUAAAAUUUUACAUGUUUUUGCUCCAUUCUAGCAUGUUUUUCUUCAAUUUUGGCACGCUUCCGUUCUUUUUCUGCUUCCAUUUGCUGGAAAUAUUAUUGCAUAGUUUGUAACUCCUUUCUCAAUAUGGAAAUAUCUUGCGAAGAUUGAUUUGUUGAGAAUAUAAAUUGCUAAAAGCUAUGUCCAUAGUAGAUAGAUGGUGUUGGACCCAAUCCAAGGCCUCGAACCCGUCCAUGUCUUUCUUUUUCAACAACUUUUGUGAAAAUCUGAUUUCCAAUUCUUGCAUAUUGUUAGAAUCAUCAUAUGCUACUUCAAUCUCAACAGCCAUUUUCUCUUUCGCUUUCUCCUAUAAAUUAAUCAUAUAAAACUAUCAAGUUUAAUGAUUAAUUCAUAAUAUGUUAAAAAGAGUAAAUAUUUACUUUCUGUUAAAAUAGAUGUUACAAAUUACCACAAUUUCUUGUGUUUCAAUAUUCAGGUAAGAUCCAUCUUUUUUUUUUGUGUGUUAAGCGAAAAAGUUUCACACGUCCAAUUUUAUUACCUAUCUCAAUCUCCUAUACAAAAACAUAUGUUAUUGUUAAAUACAUAUCAACGGUAACUUAUUCAUCUAUAUCAAGCUUGUCAAUCAAAUUCAAAAUUUUGAAUAAGUUUAAUAUAAUGUAUUUAAUCUAUCUAAAUUGUUAAAAUAUAAAUAUAAUAGUAAAAUUAUAUUUUGGCCCCUUAACAACACAUUAGUCUUAAACAAACAAAAACAAUAAAAACAUUUUGGCCUUUCACACAUAUCGAUCAUGAAAACCAAAUUGAAUUAUUUGGACAAGUUUAAUAUCAUGGAUUGAAAUCAUCCAAACUAUUAAAAGCCAUUCAAAAGUUUAAUUUGUAAUUUUGCCUUUUAAAGGCAAAAAUAGUCCCAAAUAGACAUAAACGACAACUUUUUCACACAUAUCAACCAUAGAAACCAAGUUCAAUCAUUCAGACAAGUUUAAUAUCAAGUAUUGAAGCUAUCCAAACUGUUAAAAUAGAACAAUAACAACAAAGUUGUAUUUUUACCUAAAUAGAUGUAAAUAAUAACUUUUUCAUACAUAGCAACCGUGGCAACUAAGUUCAAUACUUUGGAUAGGUUUAAUAUCAUGUAUUGAAACUAUCAAAACUAUUAAAAUAGAACAAAAAUUGUUAAUUUGCAUUUUUAUCUUUUAAUGGCGUAAAAAGUUCAUUUAUUUGAAUAAGUUUAAACUCAUAAACUUACUAUUUCUUUUUGCUUUCUUGCAAAACUUUUUGAUCCACUUGUGUGGCUAUAUUUUUGUUGCUUUUACUACCAAUCCCAAUCUGUUCUCUUUCCUGUCAUAAAAAAUAAUUGCAUAUAUGGUAGAAAUACAAAUAUUACUAACUUAAAGCAUAAAACACUUUUAUUAUUUCAUUAUAUUAUACAAAGUUAUAAAUUAGUACCUUUCUUUGUCUUGAGAACCAAAAUCUAACUAAUUGUUCAUAUUGCCACCUAAUCACAUUACAGGAUAGAUUUUCCAUUGUGGCCUCUACAGUAGUAUUUCGAUCGAAAUACUUAUUCUUCAAAUUAUGCUUAUAGUCUUUCCAUUUCUUUCUCAGUGACUUAAGAAUAAAUAAAGUUGGUAUUUCAAGAACAAAUCUUGACUGUAAUAAUACAAUAAGAAAAGUUUGAAUAAGUAAACCAAAUGUAAAAUAAUUAUAUUUUUAUAUGUAAUUAAUUUUACUAAUAUAUUAAUAAAGUUUAAAGCAUCAGCCUCAACUUCUACUAUAACUUUAUGCCAUGUUUCAUAAUGAAUAGGCAAUUUCAUUCCAUUACGGGCAUGCAUGCCUAGAAAUCCAAUCAACAGUUGAGCUUCUUCACUAAUGGGUUGCCUAUCAGAGUUUGCAGAUACUAUAAUAUACUCGUUCGGAGGUAGUGCAAAUAAUUCCUUCAAAGUUAUCCAGCCUCUGGUCCUCCGUUUGACCAUUGUUAUCAAUUAUAAAAAUAAAAAAUCAAUUUGUAAAAUGCCAAUACUUUAGUCAUUAUAAUCGAAUUCUAAAUAUGGGGUAUAUGAUACCUGCAUUCAAAUUGAAGGCAAAAUCAAUUGAUGGGAUACUAUCUAAACUUGGACCUUCCGUAUUACCAAAUUCAAUAGCAAUUCAGGGGUUAGAAGUAACUGAGUUAAAACCGAUAGUAUGAUCAUUCCCCUCUAAAGGAUUCAGUCCAUAACCAAUAUCAACAGGUGCCUUAAAUGAUUCUAAACUAAUAUUUCUUAUAUGUAUUCCUUCAAUCUAUUCAUUCGCAUUGUAGCUUACUUGCAUCAUAAAAGUGAAUAUAUAAAAGAUAUUAGUUUAGAAAAUAUAUAAAGAUAUUGAGAAGUUAAGAAAUCAUAACCUACGAUAUAUAAAAAACAUAUCGAUUUAAUUAAAUCAAAAGAUAAUGUAUGAUUUACAAUAUAAUAAACAUACAAUAGCGAAUGGGGCAUUAAUUACAUACAAGCAUUUAUUACAUUAUGUCUUAAACACUCAAAUUACAAAAUAUAGAUAAUCCAUCAUGGUUUAUAAAUAUCUCCAUUAACAUCUUCAUAGACCUACUAAGUAUAGGUACUGGAGAUAUUUCAUCCAAGUUUUGUUUAGCAAAAUGAUAACAUUUAGUUCCAUAUUCAACAUCAUAUCAACUUCAUAUCAAAUAAGUCUUUAGGUGUGUUUCGAAGAACAACAAACCAACCCAUUUCUUUGGGAUCUUCAGGAUAAAAAACUUGUUUGACUAGAUGAAAAAACAUAAAGUUCAUCAAUGAGCUAUUGUCCAAUAUGAAUUAAUUGAAAAAAAUUUACAAGUGUAAAUCCAAGCUAAUCUUUCUUAAUACCCCUCGCACUAUUCACAUUAGCCCAUCACACUAAAAUAAGACAACUUUCCACUUGCCAUAAAAAUCCAACUUAAUAAUGUCAUUAAUCAUGCCAUAAUAGUCAACAUUUCCCUUUAAAGGGUUUGUGUCCCUAGCACUAGCAUAGCUAGUAGUUGAUGAAGUAACAACAACUACUAAAUUUUGUGUAUUUCUAAAUCUCUCAUGGGAUUUAGUGUAAAAUCUAAAUCCAUUGAUGAUGAAACCUUUGUAUCAUUUCACAAUCUUAUUUGAAUCUUGUAAAAGACACUUCACCUUUUCACCAACAAGCCUUCCACUCCAAACCUAUAAAGGUGGAAUAAAUAUAUAUGUUAUUAAUUUUAGUUAUAUCGUAAGCAUUCUAUGUAGAUUUCUCGUAAUGGGAAGUAUGGCAUUACUUACAGUUGCUCCUAACCAUUCAUGAAAGUUUUCGGUGAACAACUUAUCAAGCUCUCGAGGGUUUGAUCAUUGAUAAUGUGCACGACUCUCAAAUUAUUUCUAUACUCACUACAAAGCAUCAUGAUAAAGUAUUAACAAUAACAAAAAAUACAAUAAAUUAUGCUUAAUGGAAUGAAUUAUUUCCUUGCAAAAAAACUUACGUGCAAAAUGAUUCAAUUGAGUCAUGAUGGAAAAAAUAUAUCGAUGUGCUAGAUCUUAAGAUUUAUCAUCAUUUCAUAUUGGCCUAUUGGUUAUCCAAAACUUUUAAAAGGAUAAUUAUAGGCAAAGUCAGUAUGCUGCAUAUCAACAUUUCUCGAUGGUCUAUUAAAUUUCAUUUCAACAUCUUCCAAAUAAUGAGAAUAAAAUAUCAUACACUCUUUUGCUAAUUAUCCUAUAGCAAUAAAACCUUUCGGAUAGUGUUUGUUGUGACAAUAAGACUUUAACCUCUCAAAAAACCUAUCGCAUAAAACAUUAGUCAUAUAUCUUUUUAACUAGAAUGGCAUAAUCAACAAUAACAACCUAAUCAAUCUAUUAACAAAUAAUACCUUUUGAUAGGAUGCAUCUAUCGAUAAUAAACCAGCCCACCAAUUUUUGCCUUAUAUGAAAUGCAUCAUAAUAGUGAAGAAGUUUAGAGGAAAAAUCUUCUUUAAAUGGCAUAAAGUAAUCAUAGCUCGAUCUUCAAGUUUGUCAAGUUCUUUUACAUUCAAACAUUUCUCAUAUGGAGAUUUAAAUAUGUUACUCAAUUCAAUUACCACAGAAAUGACUUGCUUUGACAUUGAUGAACGUAAAACAAUGGAAAGUAAGUGUUGCAUCAAAAUGUGAUAAUUAUGUUACUUUAAUGAAGAAAGUUUUCACUCUUUUAGAUUCUCAUAUCUCGAUAUAUUUCACGUAUAGUCAUUCGAAACUUUAACAUUUUUCAAAACCUUGCAAAACACAUCUUUUUCAGCUUUAGAAAUCUUAAAACAGAUAAAAGGCAAUUGAUAUUUGCCAUUAGGAAGCAACCUUGAAUGAAGAUCAGGGAAAAUCUCCAUAUCAACUAGGUCAAGCUGACUCUUUAAGUCAUCCUUUGAUCUUCUAUUCACAUUAAGAAUUGUUUCGAUAAAAAUUUUGUAAACAUUAUUCUCUAUAUGCAUCAAAUCAAGGUUUUAAUGUAAUAAAAUAUAUUCUUAAUAAGUCAACUCAAAAAAGAUACUUCUUUUUUUCCAUAACUUAGACUCAUUAGGGUCUUCUUUCUAUUGUCUUUCUUAUCACUUUGAACAUUUAGAUCACCCACUUGAGUAUCAGUAUCACCAACUUGCGUAAAUAUGAGGCCAAACACCUUCAAAGAUGUCUUUCACUCUUUUCCUUAAUAGAGUCAUUUUUUCAUAAGUGAAAUCGAUAUCUUUUAACUUUGACAAUAUAUUAACCCACUAUUUGGCAAAACGAUCUCUUCAACUAUUCAAUUCUAUCAAAGAGAUGUUUUUGAAAUCUAAAUCGAUAAUUAUCAUCUAACUAUCGACAAUGUGCCAUAUAACAGAACUUUUUAUCAUUAGGUAAUCACUUUGAACAUGUCUAUACAGCACAACAUGAUCAAGCAUAAUAACCUUUUGUACUCCAACUAGAUAAAUUCACAUAAGUAGAAAAAUUAUUGAUAGUCCAUAAUAAAGCAGCAUGUAUAUUGAAGUUUUCUUUUUUUGAUGCAUUAUAGCUCUUAACUCAUUCCCAUAAUUACUUUAACUUUUAAUAAGAGGUUGUAAAUAGAUAUCUAUAUCAUUACCUAGAUCUUUUUCCUUGGAAAUUACUAUAGACAAGAUAAAUGAUUGUUGCUCAUAACAAUCCAUGGUGGCAAAUUGUAUGGAAUCAAUACAAUUGGCUAAGUAUUAUAAGAAGUACUCAUCAUUUUGCACGGGUUGAAUCCAUCAGAUGUAAAGUUUAGAAACUUAGAAUAAAAUGAUUUUCAUGCCAAAAAAUCUGUAGAAUGCCUCAAUGAUCCAUCAUUCGUCUUUUUUCAUGAUGUCACCUCAUUGAAUCUAUAGUUUUUGAAGACAUAAAGAGUCGUUGAAGUCUUAGUAUUAAUUCAAAAUAACGUAAAAGCUUAACAAGCUUCUUUUUUACAAACACCUCAUCACCAUCCUCAUUCAACCUUUCAUCCGAAUUUUUAUCCACCUAGUGAGAAAUAUCACACAAAUGACAAGAUUUUUAUUUUUUCUAUCACCCUAAUACAACAUGUAAUCAUUGGGACAACUAUGAAUUUUUUUAUAUCCAAGACCCAAAUCCUUGAUCAUUUUUUUAUUCCUUACAAGAUUCAAGGAUUUUUGCAAAAGGUAACAUUUCUUUCACAAACUCUAAUAAUAAAGUUAGAGAGUUUUUCAUCCAUCCACAUAAGCAUUUCAAGAUGAAAAAGAUAAAAACAGAAAGAUAACUUUGAAUACUUCGAUCAUUCAUAAAGUUCUUCAUUCAUAUCCUUAAGCAACCUAUAAAACUUUGAUGCUUCUCCUCUAAGUUAUUGGUCACCUACACCUAUCCCAUGUUCACCAAAUUCAUUCAUUUUAACAUUGGACUGAUUAAAUCCAUCAUUUUAAGGAGAUGAAUUACGAAAAUGUUGGUUAUGAAUGUUAAAAGCAUCUCGCAACAUGCCUUCAAUGUCAUUUGCUAUAAAAGAAUCAUGUUGGUGUUGGAGAGCCCUUGAAGUUGAAGAAACGUGAAAAACCUUUAUAGUACAGACUUUCUAUGAAAAUACCAAUUAACAUAUCCCAGGACAAAUCCAAUACAAAUUAAAUGUUUGAAAACAACUUCAUGCAUUUGCCAAUCAAUAUUAGCACACUUCACACAUGGGCAUAAUAUCAUAUUAUUUUCACUUAUAUUUUCAAAUGCAAAAUUAAGAAAAAUUUUCAUUAUAUCUCUGUACUCUUGACUUAAUUUUAACCUUUGCAUUUAACUCUUAUCUAUUUAGUACUUGAUACAUUAUCAGACUAAAUUUAUACAAAUAAUUUAUAUGAAAAUGAACAUGUAAAAUACUUAAGUUUACUAUGCUUUAAACAAAAAAUAAUAACAAGACCAGUAUUUACAAAAGACCUAAACUCCUUGUUGUGAAGUAUUUUCUCAGCUAUUUGAUAUAAAGCAUUUAAAACUCUACUGCUAAACCAAACAUUACCUUAGAUUAUUUGUAGUUAGGGUUGAAAUAAGGUAAAACUGGUUCAGAGGAAACCCAAAAAAAGAAGAAGAUGGAAGGGAAAGGGAAGUGGAUGAUGGGUUCCAAAUGGGUAUUUGAGGAAGGAAGGUUUUGGAGAAAAUUUGUAAACUAAAAAGAAUAUCGCAAAUUGUAAAAGCUGAAAGAAUAAUAGAAUGAAGUAAAAGCUAAAGUAAAUAACUAAGGAAUAGUCAAAAUAGGGUUCUAAAAGACAAAGCUAAAAUAUUAAAAGCUAAAGGAAAGGGAAAGUAAACUAUAGUUAGUUUGAAAAGAGAAACAGUAGAUUAAUAAAGAUGAAGCUUAAAGUUGGUGAUUGGAUGCGCUAAGUUUGGGGAUAAUUUUAUUGGAGUUUGUAAGACACACACAUAUUCAUUUGACAGAUAGAGGCAUUUUCAACAAACAAACACUUUUAAGAAUCCCCGUAAUAUUUUUGAAUCAGAUCAUUGAAGGCAUUUUCUAAGAAAAAUACCUUAAAUAGUUUUCUCUUAAAAAUUUUUUAAGAUUAUUAAAGGCAUCUUAUAUUAAAAAUGCCUUCAAUAAUCUGUUAUUAAAGGCAUUUUUAGCAAAAAAAAAUGCCUUCAUGUAUUUUUUUUUUUUAUCAUUGAAGGUGGUUUUCUAUUAAAAAUGGCUUCGAGAGCAUAAGUUUUGACAUGAGAUUAUUAUAGGCAUUUUUUACUACAAACACCUUCACUAAUUGCCUCAAAUUUUUAAUAGCUUAUUUAGUGAAGGUAUUUUUUGCAUAAUACGCCUUCAAUAGUUUUUUUAAAUUUUAACGAGAUGAUUAUUUAAAGGCGUUUUUGACUAAAAACACAUUUAAUAAUCUCAUCUUAAAAUUAUUGGAGGUGGUUUUUAUAAAACAACUUUAAUAAUCCUUAUAAUGUUUGUGGGUAGGAUUAUUGAAGUUGUUUUUCGGCAUAAAAUGCCACCAAUAAACAAGGUAUUAAAAAAUGGACUGAAUUAUUAAAGGUGUUUUCUAAAAAAUGCAUUCAAUAAAUUCCUUGUAAAAUUUAUUUGAGAUUAUUAAAUGCAUCUUUUAGUAAAAAAUGCUUUCAAUAAUCUCGUAGUAAAAUUUUAAAGGGAUUAUUAAAGGUAUUUUUUACUACAAACACCUUCACUAAUUCCCUUAAAUUUUUUGAAAAAAUUUAUUAAAGUAUUUAGCAUAAUAUGCCUUCAAUAAUCUCCUCCAUUUUUAUCUGAAAAAUAUUAGUGAAGGUAAUUUUCUACCAAAAAUUUUUUAAUAAUCCACUCCAACUUUUUAGAGAACUUAUUGAAGGCAUUUUUUGCAUAAUAGGUCUUUAAUAUUCCCUCAAAUUUUAACAUAUCCAAAGGUUUUUGAAAGCACUUUUAACUAAAAACACAUUCAAUAAUCUCAUCUUCAAAAUUUUUAGGGGAAAUUAUUGGAGACAUUUUUUUAUAAAACACAUUUAAUAAUCAUCAUAAUGUUUUUGGGCAGGAUUAUUGAAGGCAUUUUUGACAUAAAACGACUUCAAUAAACAAGGUAUUGAAAAAAUGGGCCAGAUUAUUGAAGGCAUUUUUUAAGAAAAUACCUUCAAUAAAUUCCUUUUAAAAUUUUUUUAAGAUUAUUGAAGGCAUCUUUUAGUAAAAAAAAAACACCUUCAAUAAUCUUAUAGUAAAAUUUUAAGGGAAUUAUUGAAAGGUAUUUUUGUCAGAAAAAUGCCUUCACUAAUUUUCUCUAUUUUAAAGUAAUUUAUUGAAAGCAUUUUUUGCAUAACACGGCUUCAAUAAUUCCUUCCAUUUUUAUCAGGGAAAUAUCAGUUAAGGUAGUUUUCUACUAAAAAUGCCUUCAAUAAUUUUUGUACAGAAUUAUUGAAGUCAUUUUUUGAGAAAAAAUGCCUUCAAUAAUUUUCUUUUAAUUUUUUUUUUGGAUUAUUAAAGACGUCUUUUAAUAAAAAUGCCUUCAAUAAGUUCGUACUCAAAUUUUAAAGGGAUUAUUGAAGGUAUUUUUUUUUUAGAAAAACACUUUCACUUAUAAUUUUAUAUUCAUUCCCUUGUCUUGAACAUCGAAAUCACAAACUACUAGUAUAGAGAAUGAUUAAAAGUUGUAUUAAUCAACCAAACCAAACCCCAUAAACACUUUUAAAUUAACUUUUGGUUUCUUUAUCUUUAUCGUCACCACUGACCUUCAACAACUCAAUGACGCGCACCUCUUUAUUUAUUUGUAUGUCUUUUUUUUAUUUACUAUAUUAUUUGUGUUAUUUAAUAGAGGUAUUUUUUUUCAGUGCCCUACUAUUUACAUAUGCAUAUGUAUUUUUAUUCAUUUCACCAUAACUUUAGUCGUCCAAGCACCUUUCAUUGCAUGUAUAGUGUUUCUGUGUAGUUUUGUUUAAAUAUUGUGAUUUGCUGAAUGGUAUUGUAUGAUAUUGUUUUGCUGAAUGGUAUUGUAUGAUAUUAGUUUGCUGAAUGGUGUUUCUGAAUGGUUACCUAAGUGAUGUUUUUGAAUGGUUUGCUGAAUGGUGUUUUUGAACACAUUACUGAUUGGUUUGCUGAAUGAUGUUUCUAUACAUAGUAUGAUAUUGGUUGUAUUUUAUUAAGUACAAUGUUAAAAUUUAAACAGUCAUUUUGGUGUAUUUUAUAUAAUUAUGAUCAAAAUCACAGGUAUUAUAAACUCAAAACAAUAUAAUUCUCUUUCUACUGAACAUGCACAAAACACACCUGUAGGCCAAAAAAGAAAAGGAAAAGGACAAAAUAAACAAGUAAGUGACAUAAAAAUUUACAUAAACUUCAAUCAAAGUAGGCAACCUAUGUCUGAUGGAACUGCCAAAUUGGCUACUCAUAUUGGUGCCAUUGUCCAUAGUAGCAUUUCAAUUACGUACACUAAUUGGCAAUGAGUUCUUGAUGAUCUAAAGGAUGGUAUAUGACAGUCGGUUAUGAUAUAUUUAUUCAACUAUGUCAUAAAAUUUGUUAAAUGAUCAUUUAAUUAAAAUACAGUGUGUUCAUACUAAUUAUGUUAAAUUAUUUAGGAACGGUUUGAUAUCGUAAUUAACUGUAAAAAGAUUAUGUUACAAUUUGCUAGAAAAGCAUUCAGAGACUUUAAAAGUAGAUUGAAAACCUAAUAUAUUUUACCACUCACUUAUCAAGGUGAUGUAUUGGCUAUUCCACCUACGUUAUAUGCAAAUGUAAUAAGUGUUGAAGAUUGGAGAAAUUUUGUUCGAGAUUGGCUAUCAGAAGAUUUCUUAGUAUGCAGACCCAUUACCAAAAAAAUUGUUUAUAAAAUUUUAUGCAAUAUAUUCGAUAUCUUUAUAUGUGAUUUAUGUAAUUUAUUUCUUUUGUAAAAAAUCAAAGAAAACCAAAGGAACAUUAGGGCAAAACCAAAGGAACAUUAGGGCCAAACAAAUAUAUCAACAUCGGACAGCGAGAAAGGGAUAUGCAAAUGUGAAGUAUGAGCUUGUAAGUAUUUGCACACUUGUUUUAUUACUCAUAAAUGAAUAUUUAUAAACAUUUAUUUCAUAGAUUCUGAUUCUUAUAUUACGGUAAUUUAUUAGAAAUCGACGAGCUUUGGCAUUGAAGUUUUCAGAUGGGAUGUCUAGAAAUAAAAACAUCUACAGAAGGAUGGAUAUUUUGUAGAUAAAGCAACCAAAGAAUUGGCUAAAAAGAUUGUAUGUAUAAUUGCUUGUUUAAUAUCAUGUAUGAUUGGCAUUAUGGUUAUAUGCAUGACUAUAUACUAGCUUCUAUAGAUUUGUUGUUAUAGCCCAUAUUAUUAUUGUCUUUCAAGAUGAUUAUGCUAUCAAAGUUAAAUUCAGCGAACUGGCAAUCUAGUAUGGUGAAGAUCUAUUAUCUUUAGCAUUAGAAACUAAAAAAAGGCCUGGUCGAGUUUGUGGGGUUGAUAAAUUUGUGUUGCCAUCAAAGUGUUUUAGUAAUCAACCCAAAAUGCCUCGAAUGACAAAUGCACAAUAUGAAGCAAGCAUUGAGCAAUAACAGCAAUGACUUGAUGACCAGAAGUAAUGCCUCAAUGAGCAACAGCAAAGACUAGUUGCUUUAAAGGCCAUGUCAGCAGUCAAAUUCUGACCUUUGCAUAGGUUGUCAUAGAUGAGUUAUCUAAUUAUUCAUUCAAUCAUUUAUCCAAAGGAAACUACAUAACCAUUGAGUCUAAGGAAGGGUUAUUUGAUAAACCAUUAUUUUCUUACAUUGGUAUGGAUGAGGUUAAAAAAAUUUGUAAACUGGAUGAAAUAUCAACUGUUGAUAUUGUUGCUUAUACGAGGUUAGCUUAUAAAUACAAAUAUACAAACUUAAUAUGUAUUAAUCUAUAUUACGAUGUAUUACUAACUAGUAUUAUUAAUUGUUAUCGUGUAGCUUCCUAUAUAUAAAGGUCAAGGUGAGAUAAACGUCCCACAGAUUUAGAUUCGUUGACCCCAACUUCAUUAGUAAAUAGAGUGGCAUAGUUACUUUUCGUGCUAAUCAUGUGAUUGAAUGCAUGAAAAAACCAUUCGAUUAUUAUUUGCUCCCAUAUAAUGCGCAGUAUGUUAUAUUCAUAUAAACAAUUAUUCCAACCUUACCCAAAUCUGAUAUAAUGCCUAAUAUGGGUAUAUCAUUCUUAUUAUUUUGCAGUCGUCAUUGACUACUUAUUGUGAUUGAUACCAAAUCCUUAACGUUAUACUUACUUUAUUUAGCUUAACAACGGUGAUGCCUAACCCCAAAAUUUAAAUUUUUAUAAAGAAGUAUUACAUGUUAUUAUACUAUAUAUCUUAUGUUUCUUCUUAAGUAAUUUUAUUUAUGUAUUAAGUAAUUUUUUUUCUUUUUAUUUAGGGUAAUAUCUGCAUUUGAUAAGAAGGCAAAAAAAAAAAAAGGUGUCAUUACCGGUAAAUGUGAAAUUUAUUCUUUUAUGUUGAGUUUAUAUAGAAAAAUAUUUUUUAAACCUACUAAAUUUAAUUUUCAAGUACCUCGUCAAUCCGGAUAUACUGAAUGUGGAUAUUAUGUCCUUUGUUUUCUAUAGAAGAUAGUUUUAUAUGAUUUUAUGACCACAUCAUCCAAGGUUAGCAUAAAUUUCGUAAAGUCAUUAUAUCUUCAAAAAAAUAGCUAAAUUAUGUUCUCAUUUAUUAACAUUUACUUUUGAUUUUUUUAUUAGUGGGAGAGUAAAGAAAGUUUCAUGGUAGAGGAACUUGAUGAAGUCUAUAAAAAAUGGUGUGAGUAUGUAUUAUCAUUUAUUGAUAAACCUUGAGGUUGGACAUUGUUGGUUGAAUGUAAAUAUAAGAGGAUCAUUUGCUAUAAUGUUUUUAACAUGCUAUGUUAAAUGGAUAAUUUAAGUUUGUAGAUUGGAGUAUUGGUUUAAUAUUAUUGGUAUAUAUUUGUUUUAUAUGAAUACACAUAUAUUAAGUAUGAUUAUUUGAGAAAAGUAUAUUAACAUGGCAACAUUAUUAGUUUUAAAUUCAGAUGUGUGGUCAAUUUAUUGAAAUACAAUAAUGUUCAUUAUGUAAAUUCCAAAAUGUAAUUCGUAGUAUCACAUAUAUAAACCAAAUGUUUUUUAGGUAUAAACCUAUAAUUGAUUUCAAAUGUUUUUUGGACAUAAAUUUACAACUGAUUUCACAUAUAUAAUUAAACCAAAGUUUUUUUAAUAGGAUUAUUUAAGGCAUUUUUUAACAAAAUCGCCUACAAUAAUCCCUCAUAAAAAUUUAUUGUUUAGAUUAUUAAAGGCAUUUUAGGCCAAAAUGCCUUCAAGAAUUCGUUCUAACUUUUUUGUAUAGAUUAUUGAAGGCAUUUUUGACUAAAACCACAUUCAAUAAUCCAUUAUAUAAAAUUUAUUAAUUGAAUUAUUGAAGGCGUUUUUGACAAAAAAUGCCUUCAAGAAUCCAUUCCAAAUUUUUUUUAUAGAUUAUUAAAAGCGUUUUUCUGCCAAAAAUGCCUUUAAUAUUCUAUCUCCAAAAUUUUUUAAAUAGAUUGGUGAAGGUGCUUUUGCCCAGAAAACACCUAGAAUAAUCCCUUACAAAUAAUUCCUUCAAAAACCCAAAAAACCUAAAGGGAGGAAUCAAACAUACAAUUUUAUAGUUAACAACUAUAUGAUCUUUAAAUUUUGAUAGGAUAUUUAUUGAAGGCAUUUUUGACCAAAAACACCUUCAAUAAUCCUCUGCAAUUUUUUAGUGGAAUUAUUAAAGGCGUUUCUUGUAGAAAACACCUUCAAUAAUUGCCUACAUUUUUUUAUGACGGGAUUAUUCAAGGCAUUCUCUGCCAAAAAUACCUUCAGUAAUUGCCUAUCCAUUUUUUUAAUGGGAUUAUUCAAGGCAUUUUCUAUUAAAAAUGCCUUCAGUAAUCAUUCCAAUUUUUUGGAAAGGAAUAUUCAAAGUGUUUUAGUUGAUAAAUGCCACUAAUUUUUGGCUUGGGUGGCAUUUAUAAGUAAAAAUACCGCUAUUUGAAUAUUUAGUGGUGUUUUGACAAAAAACGCCUUAAGUUUUAUAAAAACACAGAAGCUAGCGGUGUUUGUAAGUGAAACUCCGCUACAAAAAUGCCACUAAUCUUCCAUUUUCUUAACGUUGAAUUCAAAAUGUGAGGGAUUGAAAAAUUAAGGCCAUCCAUUUUUUGGCACUUGUUUCACACCCUAAUAGUUGACUAGGAAAGUAAUUAAUUUCCAAUGAUCUCUAUUAAUCAACAACUAGUAUGUUCUAAUUAAGGUUCAAAUUAAGAGAUAGGGUUUAAAUAAUUUUCUUUACCUUUUUCUUGAAUACUAGAAAUGAGCCCACGUGUAGCUUUAACUAUUUUAUUAAUUAAAAUAAUUCAUUAUUUGUUUUAUUUUUUUAUUAUUUUGAUAUAAAUUUUAAUAAAUUAAAAAUAAUUUUUAUAUUUUUUUAUAAAAUUUAACUAGUUAAAAAAAGUAAGAGAUAAGAAAACUGCAUAGAGAUGAUAUGUGGAUAUCUCAAUUGGCCCUUUUUUUCAAUAAAUUUAUCUAAUAAAAAAAUAAAUUUGAAAAUUUGAAAAAAUAAAAAGUAAAAAACCAAACAAAGGAAAAACAAAAACAAAAGAAGAGCUUAAUAAGGAUGCCACAUGAAAACUUCCAUUGAGUUUAAAAUAUUAAUUUAUUAAAUUAAAGUAUUAAAUAAUUAUUUAUUAAUAUGAUACCUGUAUAUAAAUAUAAAACUAAAUUAAUAAUAAAAUAUAUAUACUUUUACAUAUACCUCAAGAUUACUUAGGACAACGUAGUCUAAAUUUACAUCUUAUGUCUUCUUACUAUCCUAAAAAACCAACUUGACUUGAUUUGACAUCGAUUUUGAUCAAAAACGUCUAUGUCAAAUCGAGAUGGAUUGAAACCCAUUGAAUAUUGAUUAUUUUGCUAUCUUUAUCAACCGUCUCAUUUUGUUAUAAAAUUUAUCUAAUUAAAAAAUAUAUAUGAAAAUAUAUAAAAAAAAAUGAGGAUGCUAUGUGAACACCCCCAUUGACAUUAUUUUCUCAAAAAAUUAUCUAAUUAAAAAAAGGAAAAAAGAGAAAACAAAAAGUAAAACAAAAAAAAUUAUUUUCAAUCAAUAAUGUCAAAUGAGUCCAAUCAUAAAUUAAAGAAAAGUAUUUAUUAAAUGUGAAAAAGUGAAAAAAAAAAUAUAUAUAUAUAUAUAUAUAUAAGAAGAAAUGGAAAUAAGAAAUGGAGAAGAAAAUGAAAAAACAAGUGAAUUAAAGGAGGUGACACAUGGAGAUCAAAAUAUGCAAAAUUAAUAUUAUAGAUAAUAAAAUAUAUACUUUUAUACAUAUACCAAGGUAAAUUUGGGUAAAGUACCAUUAACAUGUUCCCAACCCAACUUUGUUUCUCUUUAAAAAACCCAAUUUGCCCAAGCUUGAUCCAAAAAAAAAAAAAAUUGCACCCUUACUGGAUCGGUCAGAAUCCAUUAGAUACAAAUUAUUUUGUUAUCCUUAUUGAUUGAUUCCUUUUGUUUGAAAAUUUAUCUAACAGACAAACAAAAAAGGUAAAAAAAGGUAAAAUAUAACUUUAUUAAUAUAAUACAUACAUAUAUAAUAUAAAUUAAAAUAAUAAUAAUAUAUAUUUAUAUACACUUGGAAGGGGCAAAACACCCUAAACUUGCAUUUUACUUGACUUUGAUUUAAAAAAAAAAAAACUUGACCUAAUCCUAAAUUACAAAAAAAAAAAAUGCAUUGAUUGAAUCCAUACAAAUCGAAACCUAUUGAAUAUAGUUAUUCUGUCAUCUAUACCUCAAUUGACUUUUUUCAAAAAAUUUAAUUAGUGAUUUUUUAUUAUAAUAUUUAUCUAAUUAAAAAAAUAUGAAAGGCAAAAAAAUUAAAUAGGAUGCCACAUAGGCGCAUCCAUUGGCUUUUCUUUCAUUUAAACAAUUGAUCUAAUAAAAUAUAAAAGCAGAAAAAAACUAAAAAAGAAAAAGUAAAAAUAAUAAUCAAAACAAAAAAAAGGAAAAAAAGUUGAGUUGUCAUACGAUAUUAGCAAUGAUGAGCUAUUUUUGUAAAAUUUUUAUUAUUAACUUUUUUUAAAAUAAAAAUAUAUAAAAAUGAUAGGUUGAAAAAAAAUUAAAUCUAGAUGCCAUAUAAACACUUCCAACAAAAUCGUUUUUACAAAAUUAUCUAAUUUAAAAAGGAAAAAAGUAUAGAAAAUAUGUAUUUUUAAUCAAUAAUAUCAAAUGAAUCCUACAAAUAAGCACACCUAUGUUAGAUUGGUGUGAAUCAAAAUUAAUCAAAUAUGAAUUUUUUAUCAUCUCUACCAUUAAUCUUUUUUUUUUUUUACAAAAUUUAUAUAAUAAACAAAAUUAAAAAACCAAAUAAAAAAGUUGAAAAUAAAAAAUAACAAAAAUAGAUUUAAUAAAAAUAAAAAACAAAAAUAAUUAAAAUAUAGAUUUUUGAAGAAGGAUGGAUGCCACGUAGAUACCUUCUCAUUCCUCUAAAAUCUGCAACUUCAAUAUAAUAGACGAAUGGAUAAUAAAAUAAAUAUAAAUAUAUAUAUUUUAUAUAGCCAAAGCGAGAUGAAACAUCUUAAAUCCACUUUUAAUCUAACUCUGAUUUUAAAAAAAAUCAAUUGAAUUUUGAAUUUUAAAAAAAUGCAACAUCAUAAGAUUAGGAUGAAUAAGAAUCCAUCAAAUUUAGAUUUUUUGCCAUUACCUUUAUUGACUUUUUUACAAAAUAUAUUUAAUUAAAAAUUAAAUUUAAAACCCCCAAAAAUAAAGAAUAGCAAAAAAUAAAAAAAUAAAAGGUUGGAUAUUAAAAAAGGGGGGAAAAAAGGAAUGAGAAAAACCAAUUAAAAACCAAGACCUAAUAAAAAAAAAAAAAAAGAGAUAGGUUCCUCGUAAGCAUCAUCUCUUCCUCAAAUCUCUACAAAAUUAAACAUUUGAUAUAUAUACUAGUAAUUCAAUGUGCAUUUUGACCAAAAUAUUUGCAUUAGGGCCAAGACCAGAAGAACCAAAGAUUUAUUGAUUUAAUGUAAAAAAAUACAUUCUCUCAAAAGAGAAAAAGAUAGAAAAUACAUUGAACCUUUUUCAUUAGUAUUUUCAUGGGAUUUUAGUGAUGGUGAGAGUUGCUGCAAGGUAUGGAAUAUAUACAUAUACAUAUACAUAUACAUAUAUAUAUAGAUAUAUAUAUAUAUAUAAAGGCUCUGCUCCUAAUAGAAAACACAUUGCCCUUUCUGGUUAGUAUUUUCUUGGGUUUUUAGUGAUGAAAGGUUCUGAUUUAGUUAGGGGGUUGAGUUAGAGUUGCUGCGAGGUAUGGGAAUGAAAAAAUUUCUGCUCCCAAUCUGGUUAUAACAUGCUUACAUUAGGUUACUUAUUCAAUGUAAAUACAAAACUGGAAAUUUCUAUUUCUUGUAUAUAAAAAGUUCAAUUCACAUCAUCCUCCAAUGUUGUGCAGAUUAAAAAAAAAAAAAAGAAAUAGAUGUGGCCUGGCUUUCCAUUAGAGGACUCCCCAUUACACUAUCAAUCACCUAAUGAUCUCAGUUAGAGUCAGUGUGAAAAGUAAAACGAGAAUUAUUUCCUAAUAUACACUUAUACAGUCAAAUCAACACAAAGAAGCAAUAUCUUCUAUUUGUCAUCAAUGGAUUAAUUUGAAAGUAAUGGAGUAGUUAUGGUAGUGGCUGUCAGCCAUGGCACAUUUCUAAGUGAUCGAACAUCCAUUUGAUAAAAUUAUGGGUUUUAAGUUUAAGUAGAGAAAGUGGUGCAAGAUUUUUUGAGUGCAAAAAUUUUUGGAUUCGCUGUCAGUAAAAGGGUAGAACCAAAAACCAAGUUGUGGAGAUGCAAGAGUAUGAUGUUUGAAUCAAAAUGUAGCUUGUGUUGUAGAUAUAGAUACUAUUAUUUAACUCAAGCUGCAGAGAUGCAAGAGUAUGAUAUUUGAAUGCAAAUGCAAGAGUAUGAUCAAGAUCUGUCCAACCAGGAGCAACAAGACGAUUCUCUUCAAACUUUUUUGUGUAGUGGUGGCCCCUGAUUCUGAUGGAAAUGGAACUGUGCUGUGGAUGCAUCUGAAUAGUUUUAUGCCCUUUGCAUUGCAUAUAUAACUCUAAAUUUUUUUUUCUUGUUUGAGGAAAUAUAGCUUUAACUGGAGUUGAAGCUACAAGAACAAGAUAGUUAUCGGCUGACAGCUAGAACAUAAAUAAAGAAUAGAUUCAUAGAGAAUCGCGAUAUUUGUGUUUGUCAGCAGGGGUUGACCUGUUAAAAUUUGGAAGCAACAUUUGCUACUGAAGAAAUUUUUAUGUAUUAGAAACAUCUACAACAGUGAAGAAUUCUCUUGAAAAUCAUGAUUAAUUAUCUAACAACAAGCCUCCCCUGUUUUUAUUUUUAGCUGUAAGCACUACCAAAUCAAUUGUCAUGCAAAUUUUGCUUUAAAAUUUUCAAGAUAAAUACAAAAAGCAGUAAAGCAACAGUAAAAGACUAGGGAGAAAGGAAAGUACAGCACCAAGCACCUAAAUUGCGGUGGCUAAUAUCGAAACAGCUCGAAUUUGGACAGGGUAAGAGUUUAGAUUCCUUACUGCUGACUUCAUUGUCUUGCCUUUUCCCCAGCAAAAACAAAUGAAACAACAGAAAAUGGACAAAAGAUAGUGGAGGCUGCUAUUUAGCAUUUUCCAAUCUGUGGUUAAUUUGAAGCCAGAAGAAAUUAACAUUAAUAUUUUUAUUCGUACCAAUCCUUUUCGAAUAUAUUUUUUAAAAGUAUUCAUUAUAAAAUUUUAUAGAUUGAUUUAUUAAUUUUAUUGAUAAAAAGGAUGGAAAUCAAAUUUUAGAAGCUACCACCAAAAAAUGUUUUAUUCCCCCACACUUCAACAGAAUCCUGUUCGAGUUUUGGGUCUAUAUAAACAAAUUACAUUGGAAAGAAAAACAAACAAACCAAGCUAGGCAAGCCUUCUCUCUAAUAUCACCCGUCAUAAACCUCAAAAACCACAAUGCAAGCCACAAAGGAUAACAAGGAUCAGAAAAACAAAUUGGAACAAGUGUUUCGAGCUUACUCUAAGCAGGGCAGCAUCACCAGGGACCAGCUCAAGGAUGCUUUUGAACAUCUAGGUGCAGUCACGCCAAACAAGCAAGUUGAAGAGGCCAUGGACGUUGCUGAUAAAAAUAAGGACAAUUUGAUCGACUGCACCAACGAUGAGUUGGAUUCUCUUGUUGAAUAUGCUUACAAUAAAGGCUUCAGCGGUUCCAUUUGAGUGCCGAUGGAUAAAAUUUCAGCCUAAGUAUGGGGGAUGCUUAUGACUGAUGAAAAAUAACUAUAUAGUUUUCGGUCUUUUUCCUUCAUGUUGUCUCAAAAAAACAUGAUAAAAUUAAAAUAAAA
rnacentral:lncRNA from 1 species